rnacentral:rRNA from 1 species
UACGAAGGGGGCUAGCGUUGCUCGGAAUCACUGGGCGUAAAGGGCGCGUGGGCGGCGUUUUAAGUCGGGGGUGAAAGCCUGUGGCUCAACCACAGAAUGGCCUUCGAUACUGGGACGCUUGAGUAUGGUAGAGGUUGGUGGAACUGCGAGUGUAGAGGUGAAAUUCGUAGAUAUUCGCAAGAACACCGGUGGCGAAGGCGGCCAACUGGACCAUUACUGACGCUGAGGCGCGAAAGCGUGGGGAGCAAACAGG